rnacentral:rRNA from 1 species
UACGUAGGGUGCGAGCGUUAAUCGGAAUUACUGGGCGUAAAGCGUGCGCAGGCGGUUGUGCAAGACAGAUGUGAAAUCCCCGGGCUCAACCUGGGAAUUGCAUUUGUGACUGCACGGCUAGAGUGUGUCAGAGGGGGGUAGAAUUCCACGUGUAGCAGUGAAAUGCGUAGAGAUGUGGAGGAAUACCGAUGGCGAAGGCAGCCCCCUGGGAUAACACUGACGCUCAUG